CCGGUAGCAAGCUAGAUCUCAUCUCUUGUUUCUCUCUGCGCCAGACCGAUAAACGGAAUAACAAGAAGAAGAGCACGAACGAAGGGAAGGAUGGAGUAGCUCCUGUUUUUCCGCCGCCGCCGCAAGGAAGGAACGGAAUCGGUGCCAGAGUUGCAACGCAUGCACGCACAAGUAGCAUCCGCGGGCAUCCCGAGAGCCAAGGCGUUUCCCUCCAUCGAAUUUUCAGCGCCGAAUCCAGCGAUAAAGAGAGGAGGAGGCGCCAAACAGCACAGGAAGGAAGGAAAGGGAGGAGAAAGCGAGGAGGAGGCGUAGCUCACCGGCGGCAGCGGGGCUGGGGAGA
rnacentral:misc_RNA from 1 species